GAGCAGAACAAGUAGGGGUAAACCUGCCUCUAGAAAUGGUCAUUCUCUAGCACAGCUGAUAACCGAGGUUGGCGCUCCCACUUCCAGUCCAGAACCCCUCCCUAUAAUAGAGGAAUGCUAAAACCAGCUUAGAAGCAGCGCACGCCAGAGUGUGGAAGUUUUCUUUGGUGGGUAAUGUCCAAAGGGAUUGACAACACCACGGAUCUGCCUGAGGUCGAGGUCAAGGGAAGCGCUGGGAAGAGGCUGCUGAACUGCUUUGGGGCUCCCCCUGCUUGGUAAUUGGAGCUGCUCCUGGUAGUGCUCAGGAGACUGUCUAGUUCUGGGGAUGAACCCUAGGGCUUUUGCACAUGAAGCAUGCAUUCCAACUGCGUAGGCCUGGCCAGCUGCUUUAAUUUUUAACACUUGGAAGAGAUAGUUCCUGGGCUUUUAUGUGAAUAUCCUUAUUUUAUGAAGAUCUAAAAUCAGAAUUUGAAAAGGAGUCAUUCCUCUUGAACCCGAGCAACAAAAAAUGCUUAAGAAAAUUCAAAAAGAACCCGAUAUUAAACCAGAGACUGGAGUCACAGCUGAAGUACCAGCUUUGGUGCCAUUUGGAGAUGCGGUU